UGUAGUGGUUAUGCUGCUUGGAGUGUCCCUUUACUAGCGUUGGAUGUAAAGCAAAAUUGUUAUGAAAAAAAGGGCUAAUCGGCACUGCCGAGCAAAGUAAAAAUUGGAUUAAGUGAAAGGGUGAAAAGGUGAAACAGUUCAUGAACUACUUCGAGGUCAUCAGUGAGAAGGAAACCUUGAAGGCAAAACAUGUGCUAUUCUAGGGCAAAGUGCUAAAUGGUGAAGGACAUUCCAUUGGAUCCCACGUAGGGCUGGCGUUUGCUUCAGGUCAAUUUGGCGGCCGCCUAGGGUGCUUCUGAAGGCUCAUUUGGGCUGUCCCUCUAUCAAGUGUGACUAUAUAUGUAGUGUGUGUCAAAGGCCAUGGUACCGGGAGCUAAGUAACCCUUACAUGGCUGCUAACUAGGGCCCGGCAUCCACCUCAGUGUGCAAAGUAAUUUACUUAGACCCAGGUCCCUCUCCCAGACAUCUAUGGCGACAGCUCAAAGGCGCAUCAUUCACUCGCUUCUGCCUCUUGCCCUGUACUUGGGGACAUGUAGGCGAGAGGAUAGCAGGAAGUGGGGCUGAG